UCCUAUUUCUCUCCAUCCUUCCCACUCUUUCUCCUGUCAUAACCUCCCAUUGGUUCUACUACAGUAUUGACUGAUUCAGGCUCUGCCCUGGCUGUAUUUCUGCCUUGUCAUUGUGACUCAGCAUUCUGGAGUCUCAAGCAGAGACAGAAGAGGAAUCAAGAUGUUCCACUCCCUCAAUGGUUCUGUUUAAAUGGAAGUCAGGGACUAAGCAGACCGCUAUCACAUUGGUGUCUAUGGAGUAACCCCCCCUUAAGCAGACAGUGGUCCUGAGGCAUCAAAGCAUCUCCAAUCCAUCAUACUACCACCACUAUGCUUGACUGUUGGUAUGAUGGUCUUACUGUGGAAUGCACUGCUUGGUUUUCGCCAGACAUAAUGGGACCCAUCCAUUGUAUGGGAAUUCAUGUCAAGUCCUAAUAGGCUGAAGAUUCUGUUAUGAAUAAAAGCAUUGUGUUGGUCUACCUGGAAACAGAGAGGCUAAUUACUU